UACAGAGGGUGCGAGCGUUAAUCGGAAUUACUGGGCGUAAAGCGUGCGUAGACGGUAGCGUAAGUCAGAUGUGAAAGCCCCGGGCUCAACCUGGGAAUUGCAUUUGAGACUGCUCUGCUCGGGUGCGGAAGAGGGAAGCGGAAUUUCCGGUGUAGCGGUGAAAUGCGUAGAUAUCGGAAAGAACACCAACGGCGAAAGCACUCUGCUGGGCCGACACUGACACUGAGAGACGAAAGCUAGGGGAGCGAAUGGG
rnacentral:rRNA from 1 species